AGUAAUGUCUGGGAAACUGCCUGAUGGAGGGGGAUAACUACUGGAAACGGUAGCUAAUACCGCAUAACGUCGCAAGACCAAAGAGGGGGGACCCUCGGGCCUCUUGCCAUCGGAUGUGCCCAGAUGGGAUUAGCUUGUUGGUGGGGUAACGGCUCACCAAGGCGACGAUCCCUAGCUGGUCUGAGAGGAUGACCAGCCACACUGGAACUGAGACACGGUCCAGACUCCUACGGGAGGCAGCAUG
rnacentral:rRNA from 1 species